GGUGUCUGCGGCGCCCAGCUGCCAGCUGCAGCCGGCCGUGGCGGGCGCGGGGGCGGCCUUCCGCGCCACCUACUACCACCAGCCGGCGCCCGACUGCCCGGCCGCCGCCAAGUACUGAGCGGCGCCUCUCCUUGCGAAUGAAACGUCAUCGUCCUCAUCAUCAUCGCUGUGGCCUGAACCCGCAGGUUACUUCGGAACGAUCUCCUACACGAAAAUCGUGUUGCUGUCUACAAAAGUGUAUAUUAUACAUAAACAAACAAUCUGGAGUCAGUUGGUGAUUACUUUUUGUGGUCCACUGUUUAUGUGUAAAUGUAUUUCAAAGAAUACUCUAUUAUAUUCCAAACUUAGUGGUGUUUUCGUGUAAACGUUUACGUACAUAUGUUGGGCAAGUGUAAUGAUGUAUAGAUGUAUAAGUUUUAUAUAUACAUAGUCGUAUGCCGCAUGUUACUAUGCAUUAAUUAAAAUGGCAGCAAUGAAGGAUUUAAAGUAAAAGAAGAUGGAGAAGUGUGUGAAUGUUGUUUAGCUUAUAAAUGCACUGGACGGCGGAUGGAAGUCAGAGUAAUAUCCUGUGUUAUCGACAACAUAUCUGUUGCAAUAUGGUGUGUGCCACUGCCUCACAGGACUUGCUGGAUUGUAACUUACUACUGUGAUUGUAUGUAUAAUUAGGAUAAUUUAAACAAAAUGUACUUGUUUUUUUGUAAAUUUAUAAUUCGAAUGAUUUAACUCACUGGAACAAGUUUUCACGUGAAAAUAAAGUUGCAAGUGGGGAAAAUUAUCAUAAUGACAGUGGAAGUCGUGCUGCUGUACAGAAAAGUGUUAAGGUUCGCUCUACAAUGCAGCUAACGGACCUCCGUUCUUAAAGCAAGGGUAAUUUCUGUGCGCUUUAGAAGCAAUAAAACAUGAAUUAAUUGUACUACAUAAAUAAAUAUAUCUCAGUUCUACUGUUGCUUAA